rnacentral:lncRNA from 1 species
UCCCAGGUGUAUCCCAGGUGUGUCCCAGGUGUGUCCCAGGUGUGCCCCACAUUGCCCAGGUGUGCCCAGGUGUAUCCCAGGUGUAUCCCAGGUGUAUCCCAGGUGUAUCCCAGGUGUGUCCCAGGUGUGCCCCACAUUGCCCAGGUGUGCCCAGGUGUAUCCCAGGUGUAUCCCAGGUGCGCCCAGGUGCGCCCAGGCGCCCCUAGCAGGGCGAGGUGGACAGGUGGGGGUGCGGGGCGGGUCUCUGGGGGUACUUGAUGGCGGGCGGGUAGUUCUGGGUCAUCUGGAUGGAGACGUCGGACGAGGCGUCGGAGGCGCUGCGGGCGCGCGGCCACGCCCGCGGCUGCAGGAACUGCGCCGACAGCCCCGAGCAGGUGCUGAGGCGCGGGCGCAGCAGCUGCGGCGGCGCCCGGCACAGCUCCUCCUCGGCGUAGCGCUUGGUGAACAGGUACACCGACAUCACACCUGCGCCCUGAAACAGAGAGAGAGACGGGUGAGUGACACGCCUGUCACACCUGAGUGACACCUGUGACACACCUGAGUGACAGCUGUG